GGGAAGAAUCAACUUGUCGGAAUGCUGCUGGCAAAAUGCCUUGAGAUAAGUUCUUAGUGUUUACUUUCUUUUUCUGCUGUUUUUUUCUUCGGAGACCAAGGCUGAGUUUGACAGAACUGACUAUUUGUGUCAGAGACGCCAAGGCUUGUCAGGGCAAGGAGGAGUUCUUCUGGCUGUAUGAAUUACUUCUCCACCAGAAAGGAUUAUUACAGUUUUGAGCUCCCUUGAAGGGCCUAACUUGGAGGGCCUUUUUUGAGUGUUAAUGUUAGUCAUCAAACAUUCUUUCUAUUUUAUGGUUUGGUAAGGACUAAGUGAACAACCCUCAACUGAGUGGCUCUAUACUAUAGCAAAUCCAGUGUGGUGUUGUACGAGGAUGGACAGAAGGCAGGCCACUUCCAGUGGAUCAUCACCAGCUGGCUGAUAGGAUUCUUGCAAGCUGUUCUGUAAACCGCACCUGGAGAAGUGCUGAGGGACUUGCUUACCAGCCUCAUGCUGGUACUUAUCUCACCUCCACAAGGCCAGCACCUCAUAUUUCUAAAACUGCAGCAAGGAUCCUCUUUCUCCCACUUCGAGUGGCUCCCUGAGGAAGAGCACAGAUGCAGCAGACAUCUCUUCUGUAGCAAUUCCUAUCUAGUUAGUCAGAUAUGGGUGUUUUCUACCUAAAUUUAUUU